AUUGAACGCUGGCGGCAGGUCUAACACAUGCAAGUCGAACGAGUGGCGGACGGGUGAGUAAUGUCUGGGAAACUGCCCGAUGGAGGGGGAUAACUACUGGAAACGGUAGCUAAUACCGCAUACCAUCGGAUGUGCCCAGAUGGGAUUAGCUUGUAGGUGAGGUAACGGCUAACAUAGGCGACGAUCCCUAGCUGGUAUGAGAGGAUGACCAGUGACAGUGGCAAUGAGUAGUGGUACAGACGCCCACGGGAGGCAGCAGUGGUGAAUAUUGAAAAAUGGGUGUAAGCUGGGUGGAGACAUGCCGCGGGUAUGAAGAAGGCAUUCGGGUUGUAAAGUAUUGUGAGCGGUGAGGCGUUACCCGCAGAAGAAGCACCGGCUAACUCCGUGCCAGCAGCCGCGGUAAUAC
rnacentral:rRNA from 1 species